GUGCCAGCCGCCGCGGUAACACGUAGGGGGCAAGCGUUGUCCGGAAUGAUUGGGCGUAAAGGGCGCGCAGGCGGCCUCUUAAGUCUGAUGUGAAAGCCCACGGCUCAACCGUGGAGGGACAUUGGAAACUGGGGGGCUUGAGUGCAGGAGAGGGGAGUGGAAUUCCACGUGUAGCGGUGAAAUGCGUAGAGAUGUGGAGGAACACCAGUGGCGAAGGCGGCUCUCUGGCCUGUGACUGACGCUGAGGCGCGAAAGCGUGGGGAGCGAACAGGAUUAGAUACCCCGGUAGUCC
rnacentral:rRNA from 1 species